ensembl:lncRNA
AUGAGUUAUUUAUGGAAUAGUUAUGAAUGCUGGAGAAAAAAAGGAUUGAAUAAAUUGAAAUUAAUAGAAUUAUUAUGGUUGCACAAAUUUCAGACUAACAACUUGAUAGAGAAACUUAAAAAAUACGUGAACAUAUCUGAAGUGAAUAUCGGAAAUCAGCCUGAGGAGACAGUAAAAGAAGAUAUAACAACAGGGCAAUUAUUGGCCGCAGAGGAUAUCAGUUUAGCAUGCAAUUUUUGUCUUCAUGCAAAAUCUGAAUAAAAGUGAAGAGGGCAGUUCUAAAGAGAGGAAGCUGCUGAGGUAUCUAUACACAUAAAUGUACAUAUACACAUAUGUACACAUAUAUACAUCCAUAUAUACAUAUACAUAUACAUAUCUAUAUGUCUGUACGUAUAUGCAUGUGUGAGCAUAGAAUGCCUUCCGCAUUUUAAAGAUUUUUUUCAUAGACAUUGAAAAUGUUUUUUUUCACCAAGAACUCCUUGACAGCAGAGAUUGACUUUUUUGUCUUUUUCUGUAUCCUUGGUGCUGUACCUGGAACACUUGAGGCACUUACUAAUGAUUGUUGACUUAUUCAAAACCUAGGAUUUGUUUUUUUAAGAUAUAUUAUCUAUAAAAAGAAGAAUGUGCAUUUUUCAAAGACUUUCAAGUUUUUGAACUAUAACACUCAAGGAUGAGAUAGAACACUUUAUUAUCCCUAUUACUACAAGAGGAAACUAAGAAUCAGAGAUGAUGAUUACCUUUGGCUUAUAUGUUUCUGUGCCAAGAAUAAUCCCAUGUGUCUUACCACAAAGUUUAUAUUCUGCCUGAUUAUAAGUAAAUUUUCUGGGAAAAAGAAACAUAUAGACAUACACACACACAUACAUACAAAACACAAAUACACAUACAAAUGGUAUCUAGGCUGGUGAAAAAACUGAAGCUAGUGAGUGGGGAAAAGAUUGCAAAAACAGAAAAUUACUCAUAAAUAUAUAAAUUACCUAUCGUUAAGAUCAACGCUGCCAUACUCUUAAGAGAUGUGCAUUAUACAAUGUCACAUGUAUCUGAUUUCUUUUAAUGUAAAAUACUCUCUGUAAGGCUUAUUAUCUUGUUUUAUCUUCAUGACAACUCUGUGGAGGAGGUUACAUAAAUAUCAUUUUCCAGAUUUUCCGGAAAACAAAAACAGGAAGAUUCUGGAAAUAAGACAGUACUUGUUCAAGUACACCCAGCUAGUAAAUGGACAAGCCAAGAUUCUGUAGAAAGAAUGCAUUGUCACUUUAAAGAUAUAUUACAGAAUCCAAAUUGUAAGAAGGAAUGGAAUACAUUCUCUCCCUAGUUAAUCUGUGUCACCCUAAGAUUUUAUUAAGCGUGGGACUCACUCUAAUUCCCUACUUAAAAUGAAUGUGUAAACUCUAGCUUGAGUCUCUAGCUGCCUUUCUAAUGAGACUCACCAUCACCUUUGUCAGAGUUAUGCAGAAAGUGAGGCAGGUCAAGAUUCUUUUGAGAAAAGUGAGGUGGGGGGAGGAUUCAGUCUAUUUCGCCUUCUGCAGAUUUGACUAUACCAUUUACUAGCUGUUUGGAACUUUGAACAACUUACUUAACUACUCAUGUUCUUUAAAUCUCAUAUGAAAAGUAGUACUGUGAGAACACCAAUCUGACCUUUUGGUGUACAUAGUUUCAAAGGAGAAAUGCUUGGAAAAAAUAUUGGACAAAUUAAAUAAAGAAGUAUUAUAUAUACA